rnacentral:rRNA from 1 species
AAUCAACGCUGGCGGCGUGCCUAACACAUGCAAGUCGAACGCGAAAAGGGCUUCGGCUCUUAGUAGAGUGGCGAACGGGUGAGUAACACGUGGGUGACCUACCUUCGAAUGGGGAGUAACGUCCCGAAACGGGACGCUAAUACCGCAUAACAUCCUGCCUUUGAACAGGUGGAGAUCAAAGCCGGGGAUCGCAAGACCUGGCGUUUGAAGAGGGGCCCGCGUCUGAUUAGCUAGUUGGUGAGGAACGGCCCACCAAGGCGACGAUCAGUAUCCGGCCUGAGAGGGCGGACGGACACACUGGGACUGAGACACGGCCCAGACUCCUACGGGAGGCAGCAGUGGGGAAUUGUUCGCAAUGGGCGCAAGCCUGACGACGCAACG